AUGGGAAGAACAUGUGUGUUUGUUCAUCAUGGGGACAAAGACGCCUUUUUGAAAGGCAAUAAAGAACCGGACCCGGAUGAGUUUGACAUGGUGUUUGAUAGUAGUCCUAGCUAUGCGGAGCUCUUGCAACAAGUUAGGAAAGAUUUGAAUUGGAUGGACCCUAGUGAUAUCAUUGAGUUGGAGGGAAGGCAUAAUGUUGGUUUUGGAAUGCACAUCCGUUGGAAGACAAUGCGUGUAAACUCGGAGCAACGUUGGGUUGCAUACAAGGAGACGGUGGCCGAAUCACUAGACAAGGCUCUUGAGUUAUUUGCAACGAAGAAGGUUGAUUCAAGUUUGCAUUUGGACUUGAACCGGAACCCCUCCCCUUUGGUUGCUAGUAGCCCCCUAUCCUUGAAGCGAGAUGAAAUUGUUGAACCUCUUUUGACCCAAGAAGUGAGGCCAACAUUGAGCCCGUAUAGAAACAACCAAGAUGAAUCUUUGCAAGAUGACAAUGAUGAGUAUGCGGACGAUGACAAUGAAGUUGAUCUCCAUGACAACAAUGUGGGUGAUCUCGACAAAUAUCAUUUGCAAGAGACAAUGGACCAUUCCAUCCCUUUUUCCCGUGCAUAUGCAUCGGACUCGAAUGACGAUGGUCCCGAUGAACAAGUUGAUGCGGAGGGGUUCACGGUGAAGGAGGCCGAAGCUUUCGAGAAGGUAUUUGGUCGGGAUCAUCGGACUACAUUGUUCAAGGAUGUUAGUCUCGUGGAUGAAGCCGUGGUAGAUGAUGGCCAAUGUGUACCUCUUGGGGUUAGGCCAAGCUCUCACCGUGAUUUGGUAGACGACAAGAACCGGAUUGCUAAAGGUUCUAAGUUCGACAGCUUGUUGGAUUUGAAGAUGUGGCUCGACAACUACUCGGUUACACAUUACCGUCCACACAAGGUGGUGCACUCGGACGUCAAUGUGCGCUACACGGUCGCAUGUGCAUGUGAAGAUGAAAAGGAGGUCCAACUUGGACUUACAAGAGGCCGUGGUGGUGGUAGAGGUCGUGGAAAGGAUGUCCAACAAGGAGUGGCAAGACGCCGUGGCGGUUGUCCGUGGAUUGUGCGUGCAAGACCAUGGAAAGGAGGUCCUACUUGGCAUGUAGUGAGUUGUGUGCCAACUCACAUGUGCCAAGGCAAAAGGGUGGAUGGCAAGAUUGUGUCCGAAGACCACAAACAACUCACGUCCGAGUUCAUCGCUUACAGGCUCUCCAACUCAAUAUCCACACUUCCAACAAUGAGCGUCCAAUAUGUCAUUGACCUUGUGAAAGCCAUCUUUCAUUACAAGGUGAAAUACGGCAAGGCAUGGAAGGCGAAGCAAGCCGCAUUUAAGAUGUUGUAUGGUACAUGGGAGGAAGCAUACAACCGAAUCCCUAGGUUGUUGUUAGCCAUGGCUGCGACAAACCCGGGCAUGGUUCAUGUGGUCGAGCCUCAUGGGCACCAAACAACGGUUCAUGAAGGAAGGAAAGUCAGAGUAUUUGGCCAUGCUUUUUGGGCGUUCGAGCAAUGUGUGAGGGCUUUCGAACAUUGUAGGCCGGUCAUCGCAAUUGAUGGCACGUUCUUGACCGGACAAUACAAGGGCACCUUGUUGGUUGCGAUAGCAAGUGAUGCCAAUAACCGGGUGUUGCCAUUGGCAUUUGCUUUGGUUGAGGUGGAAAACAAUGACAACUGGGAGUGA
rnacentral:rRNA from 1 species